CGCACUUCCUUUUCGACUCGUUUCUUUAACGUAGCAUGAAGAAUCCUCACAUUCGACAUGACUGAUAAAAGCUGAUGAUACUGUUUUUGCUCCUUAAAAUCUAUCCGUAGAAAAAUAAUGCGCUUUGAGUAAGAAAACUAUACAGAAGCUGCAUCUAAAAAACCCGAAUAUCUUAAUUGACUAUUGUAAAAGUGUUAGUUUACAGAUUUUUGGUAACGAGAUAAGCAACGGAGCAUGCAUAUGAUUACCUAAGUAUAACUUGUACACAAUGAUUUGGUGGUUUGUAAAAAUGAAUCCUUAAAGAAUGCUACAAAGAAGUAACUCAAAAUUCCAACCAUACUAUGCUAAUAGAAACGUGAGGCAGAAAUAGAAAUAAUGGGAUUAUUGGGAUAGUUGAAAAAAUGCUGGAGUUAAACUGAGUCUCCACAAGUAUUUACAUAAACAUUCCUUUCGAAGUAUUUCAUUCAUCUUGCGUGUCUGCACACACUACUAUCAUACAGUUUCUUCUCCCAAACACAAUCAAAUUAAAGAACGGUUCCAUAAGCAGUAGAAUCAAAGUUUCGAAAAGAUACGGCCAAUAACAAAGUCAGCUUUGAUUUUUAUCACCGAUUGCUGUAAUUUGUAACUGGCACAACACAAUUUUCGAAAUUGGAUUGUUUAUGAAUAAGCUAUCGUGCUUUUCGUAUAACUUAGUGUAUCUUAGCUUCCUUUGGGCUAUAAUCAUUGUCUCUGGCUUUUCAUCUUGUAGUCUUUCUCAAUCGCCGGUUCCAUUUUCUUCAAUCUUCUAUUCAAUUGGAUCCUAUUCUCAUCCGGAAUGCUUUUCUUCCGCGGAAAACAAAUUACCGAAUUUGUAAACCGUGACGAUUUUUUUUUAUUUACUCAAAUUUUUUAUAAUUGGAUAUACAAUUGUCUCGUGCAUUCAGAAUGAAUAAGUUGGAACUAAUGCAUGUCGGGGUUUUUCACAAUCAUUUAUUUGUUUUAUUUGUUAAUUUAAACUUUCUUGCAGGCAUUCACAAGUUUUUUGUAAUCCUGGUCGAUGUGCUGUCGUCGAGAGCGUUACCAUCGCUGCUAUAUACAUCAGUUUAAUUAGCAACACUUUUGAUGGCUACACUGAUUUUAUAGAUUAAAAAAAACUGUAAUAAAUCACCAAACCUUUUAAAAAUUACUUGCCCAUUCUUUCAAAAUACAAAAUACAAAAUUGACUUGAAGAGCCUAUGAUCUGAUUUUUUCAACUUGUACGACCUCUACCUUGUCAUCUUUCUUUUGAUACUUUAUACAUAAUGGCAAACAGAAUGCACAAAUGAAUGCGGAGGUUCAAUUCCUUCUUUUUCUCUCUCACACUUAACACUCAGUAUUUUAGUAAAUCAUGAAGACAAAUCUUUGAUGAAUGCCUGUUCAAACUCUUUAGUAGUGUAUAUAGUCACAGGAUCCAUUAACUCCUAUCACAAAAUGAGUCGUCGCAAAUUGGAAUAAUAAUGAUAUUGUGGUUUUUUUAGUCCAGAGACUUGAAUACAGCCUACAAUUUUGGAUUCUCUGAAGGAGAUCGUUAAUUUAUUAUGACCAAACCCAGAAUAAAACUCUCUAUGCAUUAACAAACUAGCAAAUAAAUGCUUAAUUAAACACACUUACAUAUCCGUGUAUAUGUGUUACAAUAAUCAAAGGAUGAUCAUCGACUACAAAGAUAUAAUAUAAACCUGCU